AUUGACCAAGAUUGACAUCCAAACACAAGGUACUUCAGCUGUCAAACAAUUAGUUUAGUUACAUUUUUCAAGAAAAUUUUGUGUUUUUUAUGUGAAAUUGUGCCUAUGUGUAGUGUUAAAACUUGCAUAAUACUGCCUUUAUCAUGGGUAGAUGCGGUGUGUUAGGCUGCCCCAUGAAAAGUAUUAAAAAACAUUCAAAUAUAUCGCUGCACAAAUUACCAAAAUGUAAAAAAACUAGAGAAAAGUGGCUGGAUAUACUCGGGGCCGAAAAUGUAAUCACAACAACAAAAUACACUUAUAUUUUGUUCCCUGCAUUUCGAAGAAAAAUGUAUUAACCGAACUUUGGAUGUAACAAGACUUCGCGAUGAUGCUUUGCCUUCAAGGGAGUUGUUGAUACCAGCUCAAUUUGAAGACAGAGAGAAACAACAAUCUGUUCCUCGCAAAGUAUUUGAGGAGAAGCCUACCUGCAGCACUUGUAACUAUGAAAAUGUAAGUGUAAUAUUUCAUAAUACGUUGCUAUAGGUUACGAACCAAUUUAGACAUUUUACAUACUGACUAAAUAUUAAUAGUAGAUUGCUAUACAAGGUGCUAAAAUGACCCAUUAUAAGGAAGUAGUAUACAGGGUGAGUCUUUCGUAGCUGCAUAUCCGGAAGUAUGUUACAGAGCUCUUCAUUCUGAACAACUUUUGUUAUAAUGACCUUGGGAUAUAACGAAAAAAAAGAUUCUUCCCCAUACCAAAAUUGGUUAACGUGACACUG